rnacentral:pre_miRNA from 1 species
AAAUACUCCUUUCAGAGCAUGUUGGCAUUCUGUCCACCUCCAUAUGUAUUUUAACAGCGGAUAGUUUUGGUUCAGAUGUUGUUGGUACUAUGAAAUUUAUGGAGGCGGAUUGAAAUGCCAAGCAAGCUCUGAAAGGCGUUUUU